CACUCCCCCGAAGCCAGCGAGGAUGGCUGCGCGCGCGUUUGAGCGCUCGCGCGCGGCGACCCGUCUGUCUCCUUCUUUUUUUCUUUUUUAAGUGUAACCUGGUUUAUUGGGCUCUCGGCGUAUUCUUGCGUUCCUUCUGCACUGGGACAAGACACCACUGCACUAUUGGACUACGGCAAGCUGGUACCGUCCGGUGGAGCUUCAUACAGGAACUACUGCCUUACCUGCUGGUGUCACAACGUUGGAUGAACGCACAAAAAGCGCGGAACGAGCUUUUAUAUAGAGCAAAAUAAAUAUUUCCUCAUUGCACAAAA